UCAUCAGCUCCACAAGUGCGUAUGAAUGGUGUUGCACUGGCAGGAGGGGUACAGGCUUUUCUUUUGCAGUGAUGUUGCUAUUAAGGUCCCCGUGCUGUAAAGCUGUAAGUUUGUGUGCGUAUAUGUUUCUCUAAGUGCUUGUGGUUGAAAAAUACGUUAAUGCAAGAUUAAUCUGGGUGGAACCAUGUGCUGGGUGGCAGAGCUUGGGCAUGAGGAUGCCAGAUUCACAGUCCUCUCUCCAAAGCUGGGCUUGUCAUGAGUGAGGCUGGUCAUACACAAUCUCCUGGCAGUCCACCACCUCCAUUCAACUUUGGGUGAGUUACCUGAGAUGGGACACAUGCGCUUGAGAUUGUCAGCUUCUAAGCCGCUUGGAAAACCUCCAGGUUUGUGAUAAAAUUUGCUAGCUAGAUUUUUUAGCAGAGCACUUCAGUAAUGCAGAGACAGGUGGGACAUCCAGCACCUUCUCACUAAAAACUUUUGAGGCUGAAUGUGAUGAUUCAGAGCUUACUUAGAAUAGGUCAAUGUAAAUCUUUGCCGUGGGGUCUCAAGCAGUCUAUGAAAGACUCAAGGACGAUGAAACAGCAGCAAAGAUGAUGCCGUGCCUUGCUCUCUCCAAGGUAAAAGAGCUAAAGACUAAGAAAAAUUUUCAGUAGUCUGCCGUUCACAAGGGCACAGCUACCUCUGUGAGAUGGAUGCUCCUGCCACCAGGAACAGGGCAAAGUGUGUCAGGCAGAACAGUUGCAGCACUUGAAGAGAAGGGAAAAUAGAGUUUAUUCAACAUAAAUGGCUGCAUUAACUGCUUCCAAUGGGGCAUCCCCCACUCCAGCUGAGACAUCUUAAAAAAAGGACUGCUUAGAGUGGAAGGAGUGAUAUUACUGCUGCCACAUACUGCAAGAAGGACUUGAAUCCCUUUUAUAAUUUAACAGGAGAAGGCCAGGGAGGCAGCCAGCUCUGGAGACAUCAAUCCAUUAGCUGGUGACUCUGGGGGGUCUUAAAAAUGUGGUAAUUGGUACUGUCUCCCAGGGAAGAGCAAGGCUUUCUUUCAGCCCAGGGGCAUGUACAUAUGCAUCUGCUGACUCCUUUCCAGCCUCAGCACCCCAAAUCUACUAGGGUGUUCUAAAAAUCAUGAUUUUUUUUCUAAGUGUAUGAAGGUCAUGAGAUUUUUUGUUUGUUUGUCUGGCUACAUUUCCUGACACCAUGGAACACACACUCAUGUUAUGUUCUAGGCCUUACCUCAUAACCACAAGGGCUACUUUAAACAGAGAGGGCAAAAAACACCUCUAUUCUGAAGCUAUUCUUGAUUCACCACAGUUCCAGUAGCUGGUACUUU